rfam:Aedes aegypti strain Liverpool supercont1.403 genomic scaffold, whole genome shotgun sequence.
CCUCUCGUGGUGUAGGGGUAAUGCGCUCUAUCUAGAGAACAAGAAGUCGUGAGUUCGAUUCUCACCGAGAAGA